UGUGUGUUAGUGGAAGCGUCUGGAAAGGCGCGCGAUACAGGGUGACAGCCCCGUACACAAAAAUGCACAUAUUGUGAGCUCGAUGAGUAGGGCGGGACACGUGGUAUCCUGUCUGAAUAUGGGGGGACCAUCCUCCAAGGCUAAAUACUCCUGACUGACCGAUAGUGAACCAGUACCGUGAGGGAAAGGCGAAAAGAACCCCGGCGAGGGGAGUGAAAAAGAACCUGAAACCGUGUACGUACAAGCAGUGGGAGCACGCUUAGGCGUGUGACUGCGUACCUUUUGUAUAAUGGGUCAGCGACUUAUAUUCUGUAGCAAGGUUAACCGAAUAGGGGAGCCGAAGGGAAACCGAGUCUUAACUGGGCGUUAAGUUGCAGGGUAUAGACCCGAAACCCGGUGAUCUAGCCAUGGGCAGGUUGAAGGUUGGGUAACACUAACUGGAGGACCGAACCGACUAAUGUUGAAAAAUUAGCGGAUGACUUGUGGCUGGGGGUGAAAGGCCAAUCAAACCGGGAGAUAGCUGGUUCUCCCCGAAAGCU
rnacentral:rRNA from 1 species